UGGGGAAUAUUGCACAAUGGGCGAAAGCCUGAUGCAGCGACGCCGCGUGAGGGAUGACGGCCUUCGGGUUGUAAACCUCUUUCAGCAGGGACCAAGGCUUCGGUUGAGUGUACCUGCAGAAGAAGCACCGGCUAACUACGUGCCAGCAGCCGCGGUAAUACGUAGGGUGCGAGCGUUGUCCGGAUUUAUUGGGCGUAAAGGGCUCGUAGGCGGCCUGUCGCGUCGGGAGUGAAAGCCCACUGCUUAACGGUGGGUCUGCUUCCGGUACGGGCGGGCUGGAGUAUGGCAGGGGAGACUGGAAUUCCUGGUGUAGCGGUGGAAUGCGCAGAUAUCAGGAGGAACACCGGUGGCGAAGGCGGGUCUCUGGGCCAUUACUGACGCUGAGGAGCGAAAGCGUGGGGAGCGAAC
rnacentral:rRNA from 1 species